rnacentral:rRNA from 1 species
AUUGAACGCUGGCGGCAGGCUUAACACAUGCAAGUCGAGCGGAGAUGAGGUGCUUGCACCUUAUCUUAGCGGCGGACGGGUGAGUAAUGCUUAGGAAUCCGCCUAUUAGUGGGGGACAACAUUCCGAAAGGAAUGCUAAUACCGCAUACGUCCUACGGGAGAAAGCAGGGGAUCUUCGGACCUUGCGCUAAUAGAUGAGCCUAAGUCGGAUUAGCUAGUUGGUGGGGUAAAGGCCUACCAAGGCGACGAUCUGUAGCGGGUCUGAGAGGUUGAUCCGCCACACUGGGACUGAGAAACGGCCCAGACUCCUACGGGAGGCAGCAGUGGGGAAUAUUGGACAAUGGGGGGAACCCUGAUCCAGCCAUGCCGCGUGUGUGAAGAAGGCCUUAUGGUUGUAAAGCACUUUAAGCGAGGAGGAGGCUACUGAGACUAAUACUCUUGGAUAGUGGACGUUACUCGCAGAAUAAGCACCGGCUAACUCUGUGCCAGCCGCCGCCGUAA